GGAUGUAGGGUUCCGAGCCACCCUGUCUACUGGCAUAAGGGGACCAGACACUGAGAAUUCCAAAAAGUGAUAUCUUCAAAGAAGCAAAAUUACAGGAGGCAUCUGUGCUCCUUGAUUACAUCUUCUCGAAGAAAAAAACCACAAAGUCACAAAGGGAGCAACUAUAGAAAAGUUCCUAUCAGCUGUCCUUACUGUAACACCAAAGGAGACUAGUGAUGUUACAGGAGCGCCAAUAAAAGGAGCAGCAGCCCCAAUGGACAACAGUCACAGGAGCAUACUUCCUAGGAGUGGAUAUUUCUACUCGUUACCUCACAGUGUUGUGCUAGCUGGAAAAUAGAGGAUCCAAGAUGAACAUCUUGAAUGGGCACCCCUUUUCCUAACAUUACAGCUCCAAUGUGACCCACUACAUUUACAACAGGCACCUGUCAAAGUUUGAUGGAUUGUAACGUCAUAUCCUGGAGCAGUAGCUUACACAGCUCUUGUGACAGUUUUUCAGCUGGAAUUAGUGGCUCUUAACCUGUGGUCCAUGGAGUCCUUCAGGACAGGCCAGAGAAUAAAGCCUGAACAUGAAACAUUAGAGGGCUUAAGGUUCCUUCAACAGUAAAGCCUUGGUCACAUAGCCAAAGCAACUGCAUGCCCUCCUACAGUGCCUUCGUUUGAAACUACCUCACCACUGCCCCCUACCAAGGCCACCUUUAUAUUAGAAAAAGGUAUGUUUAACAAUUACUGAAGUAGCAGAGUGAAACCUGGCCUUGCUAAAGUAAAUCUAAAGACUCCUAAGAGUCAAGAUUUCACCUCUUACAUAGACAUGGCAGGUCUGUAGUUUUAAUGGGUCAGGUGCCCCUUGCUGGCCACCUGCCAGACUGCUGUGAUGGGAAAGCAAGCCUCAGCGAGUCCAACCACUGCCUCCAUCUUGGGGGUUGUAGGCACACAACUCAGGGUGCAGACCUGCAGUCUAACACUCCCUUCUAAGAGCUGGAACCUACUGUCCAGCUGCAUAGCCCCUCUGGGCACAAAGACGACUCUUCAGACUCCUCUGUACUUAAACACCCUUUCCCAGAACUUCACCUGAAAGGUAUGAAACCUUCUGGUUCUAGUUAGACUCUGGGCAAAAAUGUUAUACACUUCACCACUUGUGCAUGUCACCCAAAAGUUAAAACACAACCGCUCUUUUAUUUAAUCAUUAUAAACACAAUUAAAUGGAGAUGUACAGAAAACCACCAUCCUAACUUGAGAGAGUUGGGGAUUACAGAGAAGGCAAAUACAGCAGAAUAAUUUCCAUUUAGUUUUAUAUGCCUACAAAA